ACGCAGGCUCGUCCAAGGCCGGUGACCAUCGCCGCAUGCUCGACGAUCAGCUGCGCUCUCGCCGUCGACGGACCUCGACGUGGGAACUUCCUGCGGGCCACAGCGAUCCCGUUCGCGGAUUCCCUCACGGAAUUAUCACCGGAACAGCACCGCAUUCCACAAGUGCAAUUCUCGAGUGAUCCCAAUCUACUGGAGAGUGAUAUUUGGAGAGAUAUUAUAAUUAAAAUUUGGUGAAUUUAGACGAAAUAAUUUUAAUUAGUGUUCAGCUUAUACAAUAAAAUAUAUUUAGUAAUUAAAUUAUUAGUGCCAUUACUAAAUAGUACCAUUACUAAAUGGUACAUUUGAUUACAUUAACUAAAUAAUUAAUUGAAAUUAUUUCACCAAAGUUUACUAAUUAUCUAAGUUUAGUUAUUAUUAUUACUAAACUCUUUUUUGCGUACUCUCUACUAGAAAAAAUCCAAGACAAAACUUUUAAUCAAAUGCAAUCUAAGUAAUAUACAUUCCUGAAAUGAUAUAGCCUUUGAUUAUUAAAAUGACAAUUAUUUAAAAAUAAAAAAUUAUUGUAUUCACACACACAAAUUAAUUUCUCUACAAAAAUAAUGAUAUGUAAUUUGCGUACUCUCUAUAUAAAUUGAUGUACUAAAUUACUGUUCUUAUAAUUAUGAUCAGUGAUUGUUCACUUUCUAUUAGUGAUUCUGAUAAAGAAUGUAUUAUAAUUCCACAUAUUACGAAAAAUUUAUAAAUAGCUCUAUUUCUUACAUUUAAAUAUCUAUAUAUAAUUUGAGCAUCAUUCUUUUAUUAAUUUAAAAGCUAUUUUAUAUUUUACUUGCUCUUAUGUAAAAUCGCGCUUGUACUUAUCUGCAAAUUUGAUAAAUGGCAUUACAAAUUAAAUUAAAUUUUUUUACAUGUAGGUACUAAUAAAAAUCUAAUAUUGUGCAAAAA